AGUGAACGCUGGCGGUAGGCCUAACACAUGCAAGUCGAACGGCAGCACAGUAAGAGCUUGCUCUUACGGGUGGCGAGUGGCGGACGGGUGAGGAAUACAUCGGAAUCUACUUUUUCGUGGGGGAUAACGUAGGGAAACUUACGCUAAUACCGCAUACGACCUACGGGUGAAAGCAGGGGAUCUUCGGACCUUGCGCGAUUGAAUGAGCCGAUGUGGGAUUAGCUAGUUGGCGGGGUAAAGGCCCACCAAGGCGACGAUCCGUAGCUGGUGUGAGAGGAUGGUCGCCCACACGGGAACUGAGACACGGUCCAGACUCCUACGGGAGGCAGCAGUGGGGAAUAUUGGGCAAUGGGCGCAAGCCUGAUCCAGCCAUACCGCGUGGGUGAAGAAGGCCUUCGGGUUGUAAAGCCCUUUUGUUGGGAAAGAAAAGCAGCAGGUUAAUACCCCGCUGUUCUGACGGUACCCAAAGAAUAAGCACCGGCUAACUUCGUG
rnacentral:rRNA from 1 species